rnacentral:rRNA from 1 species
AUCGCACGCUGGCGGCAGGCCUAACACAUGCAAGUCGAACGGGUGGCGGAGGGGUGAGUAAUGUCUGGGAAACUGCCUGAUGGAGGGGGAUAACUACGGGAAACGGUAGCUAAUACCGCAUACCAUCGGAUGUGCCCAGGUGGGAUUGGCUAGGAGGUGGGGUAAAGGCUCACCUAGGCGACGAUCCAUAGCUGGUCGGAGAGGAUGACCGGCCACCCUGGAACUGAGACACGGUCCAGACUCCUACGGGAGGCAGCAGUGGGGAAUAUUGGACAAUGGGCGCAAGCCUGAUGCAGCCAUGCCGCGUGUAUGAAGAAGGCCUUCGGGUUGUAAAGUACUUUCAGCGGGGAGGCGUUACCCGCAGAAGAAGCACCGGCUAACUCCGUGCCAGCAGCCGCGGUAAUUC